rnacentral:rRNA from 1 species
UCAGGGAAGAAAAAAAUGACGGUCCCUGAGGAAUAAGCAUCGGCUAACUCCGUGCCAGCAGCCGCGGUAAUACGGGGGAUGCAAGCGUUAUCCGGAAUUAUUGGGCGUAAAGAGUCCGUAGGUGGUUCAGCAAGUCUAUUGUCAAAGGUCGGAGCUUAGCUCCGGAAAGGCAGUGGAAACUGUUGAACUAGAGUAUGGUAGGGGUAGAGGGAAUUCCCAGUGUAGCGGUGAAAUGCGUAGAUAUUGG